rnacentral:rRNA from 1 species
UGGGGAAUAUUGCACAAUGGGCGCAAGCCUGAUGCAGCCAUGCCGCGUGUGUGAAGAAGGCCUUCGGGUUGUAAAGCACUUUCAGCGAGGAGGAAGGUGGUGAGCUUAAUACGCUCAUCAAUUGACGUUACUCGCAGAAGAAGCACCGGCUAACUCCGUGCCAGCAGCCGCGGUAAUACGGAGGGUGCAAGCGUUAAUCGGAAUUACUGGGCGUAAAGCGCACGCAGGCGGUUUGUUAAGUCAGAUGUGAAAUCCCCGGGCUCAACCUGGGAACUGCAUUUGAAACUGGCAAGCUAGAGUCUCGUAGAGGGGGGUAGAAUUCCAGGUGUAGCGGUGAAAUGCGUAGAGAUCUGGAGGAAUACCGGUGGCGAAGGCGGCCCCCUGGACGAAGACUGACGCUCAGGUGCGAAAGCGUGGGGCAGCAAACAGGAUUAGAUACCCUGGUAGUCCACGCUGUAAACGAUGUCGAUUUGGAGGUUGUGCCCUUGAGGCGUGGCUUCCGGAGCUAACGCGUUAAAUCGACCGCC